UUGAACGUCGAUAAAAUUUAU
rnacentral:piRNA from 1 species